rnacentral:miRNA from 1 species
UCCCCUUCUGCAGGCCUGCUGG